GCCCACCCGACCCAAAGGAUAUGACAUUCCAGUUGUCUGAAACCGCAGAAAGCUCAGACACUGAAGAUGAAGGAGACAAGAUGUUGCAACCACGAGGGCUUUCAAAAUCUCGUGGGCAUCAAACACCAAAUCCAGAUGAGCGAUUUUUCCUGGUGGCAGAAUCCAGUUUGAAAGAGCUGCUAACCCAGUGCCCCUAUUGUGGGACCGAUGAUGUUGACAUCAACACCACAACAAGGGGGACAUGCUUGAAAGCUGUCAUGCGUUGCAAGUGUGGGAGGGAACGGUCUUGGCACAGCCAACCUUGGCUGGGGGGCCGACCACUGGGGAACGUCCUGGUCUGCUCUGCAAUCCUCUUC